UAAAGUGUGUCCUAGGGAAUAUCCAAAGAACUAGGUAAGAGUAAUUAGUAUAUGGCAUAGGAUACCCUCGUGGUAUGUAAGAUGCCAUAGGAUCCUAGGAUCCUUGGAUACCCUCGUGGUAUGAGCCAAAGGAUCCAAGGAGCAUAUGUGUAAAAGUCAAAUGGUGGAAGAAGUCCUUUUAGGGCAGCAACCACCACCUAUAAGUAACGAGAGUUGGAAGAGAGAACCAUCUCAUUCCACACUUCUCUUAUGUGCAACCUUGCUGAUUUCUA
rnacentral:lncRNA from 1 species